rnacentral:rRNA from 1 species
UGGGGAAUUUUGGACAAUGGGCGAAAGCCUGAUCCAGCCAUGCCGCGUGAGUGAAGAAGGCCUUCGGGUUGUAAAGCUCUUUUAGUCGGAAAGAAAGAGUUGCAAUGAAUAAUUGUGAUUUAUGACGGUACCGACAGAAAAAGCACCGGCUAACUACGUGCCAGCAGCCGCGGUAAUACGUAGGGUGCGAGCGUUAAUCGGAAUUACUGGGCGUAAAGGGUGCGCAGGCGGUCUUGCAAGUCAAAUGUGAAAGCCCCGGGCUUAACCUGGGAAUUGCGUUUGAAACUACAAGGCUAGAGUGCAGCAGAGGGGAGUGGAAUUCCAUGUGUAGCAGUGAAAUGCGUAGAGAUGUGGAAGAACACCGAUGGCGAAGGCAGCUCCCUGGGUUGACACUGACGCUCAUGCACGAAAGCGUGGGGAGCAAACA